AUUGAACGCUGGCGGCAGGCCUAACACAUGCAAGUCGAGCGGCGCGGCGGACGCGAGCGUAUUGCUUAGGCAUCUGCCAGGUAGCGGGCGAUAACGUCCGGAAAUGGGCGCCAAUACCGCCUCCUAUCAGAUGAGCCUUGGUCGGAUUAUGUAGUGGGUGGGGUAAAGGCAUACCAGGGCGACGAUCAUUAACUGGUCCGAGAGGAUUAUCAGUAAACCUUGAACUGUGAAACGGUCCAGACUCCAACGGGGGGAGACAUGGGGGAAUAUUGGACAUUGGGCGAAGGCCGGAUGCUGACAUGCGGCGUGUGUAAAGAGGGUCUUCGGAUUGUAAUGCACUUUAAGUUGGGAGACGGUACCAACAGAAUAAGCACCGGCUAACUUCGUGCCAGCCGCCGCGGUAAUAC
rnacentral:rRNA from 1 species